CAGGCCCCUGUGACCCCAGCUACUUGCAAGGCUGAGGCAGGAGAAUCACUUGAACCCAGGAGGCAGAGGUUGCAGUAAGCCGAAAUCGAGUCAUUGCACUCCAGCCUGGGCAACAAGAGUGAAACUCCAUCUCAAAACAACAACAACAACAACAACAACAACAACAACCUCUCUCCUGAUAUUAUGGCAAAAAAAGAGUUCCCUGAGACUUGGUUUUAGAUACAAAUGAACAAAUGAAGUAGUAGGGAUUCUGUUCAAUCUAGUUCAGCAUCCUCUGUUGAAUGUUCACUAUGGGUGGGGCAUUGUGCUAUGGAUGAAGGUCAGGGGAGGUGGUAAAACAAGACACAGUCCAUAUUCCCAAGGUGCUCACGGUCUAUGGUGGAAGACGGGCAUCUUUUAAAGUAAAUGUUACACAAAUCAAACUGUAGUAAGUGCUCUAAGAAAGGUAUAAACAAGAUAGAAAGACAAGUGAAGGUAUUCUGACUAGAGACAUAGGAGAGAUGCAGGAAAGAACUGAACUGGGUAGAAAGAUGGAGUAAGAGGGAGUGCAAGAGCAAGAUGGCAACAGUGAGAGAUAGACAAGGCACUAGAAUGUUCUGAGAGUAAACGUCCCCACAUAAACACUGCUGGGUUGGGUGGCAUGGCAGAGAGCCCCCCAUGAAUAACUUGCUUCUCUCAGGGUAUUGGAAUUGGGACAGUUGCUCUUCCAUGUUUAGAAAAGUUUAACACCUGACUGAGAGUCUGAGACAGGCUAAAGAAGGGCUGCUCCUCUUUGGGGAUGGGGGGGUUCCCCAAGAACAGACUAAACACAAAGGCUCCUCUGACCUUUCACAGUUAAAUGACUGUGCCAGGACAGGAGAAAAGUAAGAGUUUUUCCUGGUCUGUCUUUCCUUAGUUAAUAUUUAUCAAGAGUCUUUCCCGGGUGCUGUGGAAACCCCCUGAUCACAAGGAAUGUGAAGUAAGAUGGAGGAGAUACAGAAGUUGGUUUUAUCGCUUUAAAUAUGACACUGAUGUUUUUCAGAGACCCUGGAGAUCCUGAAACCAUUCAUCUAUCAAAGCCUUUCUCUUAGGCCUCUAUUCUGUGCAAGCCAUGAAAGAACAGGCCUUCAUGAAGUCUUGCUUUAUAUAUUUUUUGAGACAUGCAUUUCUGAAAACUGGACUAAAUUAUAUGCUUGCCUGAUUUUGAUUCAGCGACUGCCUCUAGAGAUGAUUGGGUUGGAGUAUUAUGAGGAAUUUUCACAGUCAACAAAGCCCAGCCUAAGAAAAGUGGAGAAAUGCAGGUGCCAACCCACAAGUCCUACAGAAGACGAGGGGUGGGGUGUGGAAUGUGGACAGGGCAGAAAGUCACAUUUCUUGAAGAACUUUAUUCACCAGGCACUGUGCUAGGUACUUUAGAGGCAAUCCUUAGUCUCCACUGUGUCCUGAAUGAAAUAGGUGGCGUCCCUAUACAACAAUGAAGAAACUGAGACCUGAGUGGUUAAGUAACUUGCCUAAGGCUCAUCUACUCAGCAACGAUGCAGCCAUUAUUUGCAGGCCAGAAUCCAAGACUUACUACCUGCUCAGCUGCCCUGGGGAGAGAGAUGCUCUAUCAGAAAACAAA
rnacentral:lncRNA from 1 species